rnacentral:rRNA from 1 species
CCUACGGGAGGCAGCAGUAGGGAAUCUUCCACAAUGGGCGAAAGCCUGAUGCAGCAACGCCGCGUGGGUGAAGAAGGUCUUCGGAUUGUAAAACCCUGUUGUUAGAGAAGAAAGUGCGUGAGAGUAACUGUUCACGUUUCGACGGUAUCUAACCAGAAAGCCACGGCUAACUACGUGCGAGCAGCUGCGGUAAUACGUAGGGGGCAAGCGUUAUCCGGAUUUAUUGGGCGUAAAGGGAGUGCAGGUGGUAUUGUAAGUCAGAUGUGAAAGGCUUGGGCUUAACCGUAGUAGUGGUGUGGAAACUGGAAGGCUUGAGUGCAGGAGAGGAGAGUGGAACUCCAGGUGUAGCGGUGAAAUGCGUAGAUAUCAGGAAGAACACCGGUGGCGAAGGCGGCUCUCUGGACUGUAACUGACGCUGAGGUUCGAAAGCGUGGGUAGCAAACAGGAUUAGAUACCCUUGUAGUC